UCCCGAGUAGCUCAGCGGUAGAGCGGGCGGCUGUUAACCGCUAGGUCCGAGGUUCGAAUCCUCGCUCGGGAGCCA
rnacentral:tRNA from 2 species